ACCGGCGCACGGGUGAGUAACACGUAUCCAACCUGCCGUCUACUCUUGGACAGCCUUCUGAAAGGAAGAUUAAUACAGGAUGGCAUCAUGAGUCCGCAUGUUCACAUGAUUAAAGGUAUUCCGGUAGACGAUGGGGAUGCGUUCCAUUAGAUAGUAGGCGGGGUAACGGCCCACCUAGUCUUCGAUGGAUAGGGGUUCUGAGAGGAAGGUCCCCCACAUUGGAACUGAGACACGGUCCAAACUCCUACGGGAGGCAGCAUG
rnacentral:rRNA from 1 species